rnacentral:rRNA from 1 species
UGGGGAAUAUUGGGCAAUGGGCGAAAGCCUGACCCAGCGACGCCGCGUGAAGGAAGACGGUCUUCGGAUUGUAAACUUCUUUUAUAUGGGACGAAGAGAUGACGGUACCAUAUGAAUAAGCCACGGCUAACUACGUGCCAGCAGCCGCGGUAAUACGUAGGUGGCGAGCGUUAUCCGGAUUUACUGGGUGUAAAGGGUGUGUAGGCGGGACUGCAAGUCGGAUGUGAAAAUCACAGGCUUAACCUGUGACCUGCAUUCGAAACUGUGGUUCUUGAGGGUCGGAGAGGUAACUGGAAUUCCUGGUGUAGCGGUGAAAUGCGUAGAUAUCAGGAGGAACACCGGUGGCGAAGGCGGGUUACUGGACGAUUACUGACGCUGAGACACGAAAGCGUGGGGAGCAAACAGG